GGUGGAUGUGCCCCAGCUGUAGUGAAAGCUGCUUCCAUGGCUGAAGUGGUCACUGAAAUGACAGAAAUGACAGCAACCUGAGAGAAGGAACGUUGCUGUCUGCUCUGUUUUAUAUGGGAAGAAGUGGAUUGAUCUCCAGAGGAAACAUGAGGAACCAAACAUACAAUUGCAUGUUUGCAGAGACCCAGCAAAGUCCAAAAUCAUAGAGAACUGGAAAAAUGUGCAUAAUGAUUGGAGCUACCCUGCUAGGAUAGCUUCAGUGGGUACAGACUCCAGCCUUCAUAGCCAACUCCACUUGGUUACAGCUGAAGAAUCUGGCCCUACCAGCACUCUGUUACUUGCAGCAGGAAAGAAAAUAUCCUGAAAGGUGCCUCAGGAUAAGGGAAAGGGAGAGUAAGUGUAAAUAAAGCAGGAGGCUGGGCAGACCAACAAGAAAUGUUUAACAUUCCACACUCUCCACAAAGGGCAGGUCAAGGAAAGGGAAUGAGUGGUUGGGAUGAAGCACAUGCCACAGAUAUUUUUCAAGUACUGUUCAGCAGAAUAUAUCUGGUCACGGAAACAUCCACAACAAACAGAACAGCCUUGUUCUUGAACGUGGCAAGCCUCCUGAGGACCUUCUCUAUGUGCAGAAGAAGGGUCUCACUAUGCGGGGAAGACGCAGCUGCUGAAUUCGCAGUGGUGUGUUUGAGUUCAUAGGCACAAACAACACUGAGAGCUGCAGCCUGGGUGCCAGAUCUUCUCAGAUGCAACCAGCCGAGGCCUUGCUUGCUCGUAUCCUAGUCAAACCAACAUGUCCAGUUACAUGUGCACUGAUUGACUCUGGGCAGGUAGAAGAUGGAAGAGAUGAACUUGUCAAAAGUCAUAACUCAAGGUUUGCAGGAAAGCCAGAAAUACCUAUAUGACAAAUGAAACUUCCAGAUGUAGUGUGCAAGACUCUGAUCUUUCUUAUCCUCAGGUGCAAGCCAGGCUAAUUGCAUGAAGAUCAGUUAUUAACCCUACUUUUUAAUUUAUAUAAAGUUAAAGCAACAGGUUGGAUUCCAUUUACAGCUCAAGUCACCCAGAGCCUUGAAUUAGUGAGGCUGCAGUGAUGCAAAAGUGGUAUGAGACCACAAUAAGGUUUAUUUUUGGUUUAUAUUAAAAUUUAAACCACACGAUAUUUAAUAGUUGUCUAUAGAGAUAAGGACCUUUAGAAAGCUGUAAAACAUCAGCAGAGGUAUAAUGCUUCUAUGAAAUUAACCUUCCUCCCUCAUGACUCAGUGACUACUGCUUCUGGGAACUGCCAUGCAUACUUAUAGAAACAACACCAUAUCACUAACACAGCUACACUCGAUGGGGAAAACAUAAGCUGCACUCUGCAAAUAAUGGUAUAGAAAUGAGUACUGUCAAGGUCUUGGAUACCCAUGAGGAUAUGCCCAUUUGCUUGUCUGGAGACUAUUCUGCUAACAUCGCUUGCCCUGCCAUGGUAGGACCACCAAGGACUCUCUUAAAGGGGAUGAAGUCCUCCCCGAGUGGUUUGUGAGUUCACAUCAUACGCCAGCUGCUGCAGAUACGCAUCACUGGCCAGUGAGGCUGACUUGGCUGGCAAAACCUUUAUUUAUGGGGAAUGAGGGAGAGGUAACUGCAUCAGAACUACAAAUCCUCCCAGCUUUUAAGGAUUGCAAAGGAACAGAAAGAAUUGGAGAGCUUUCUCAAUUGCAAUUUGGAAGACUUGCAUCUGUCCCAGUUUAGCAUUAAUAGAUUGCCAUGAGUUUUGGGAUAACAUGCCUAUGAGUACUGCUUCGAAGCAGAAGAAUGAAUAGCUCCACUUUGUAGGACAGUCACAGUACCCAUUUUCAUUUUUACUUCUUUCUCAGUGGGUUAAUAGUUAGUAUUAGCAG